CUCACUGCCUUAUUGCAUCCUGAGCUGCCUGGAAACUACCUACCUUGAGUUUACCAGGAACAGGCUCUAAAUGCCUCCAUGUGAUUGGCCUGCAUAGCCAGCGUGACCUUGUGCUGAGACUGCACAUCGCAAGACAUCCUGCCUACACCUGAAACUCUCCUGCCGAGAUGGGAAGUCCUGGAGCUACACAGAUCAUCCAGAGAAGCCAGGAUAAGUUCAGAGCUCAUCUGCCUCCUUUCCACAACACUGUGGGAAGAAUCAGAAGCCUCAGCAGCUGACAAUACACCAACAGAACCCCAUGAAGCUGUAGCUGGCCCUGCGAGUUGGGAGACUAAUUUUGGUGUGAUUUGCUUUCCUCCAGCCAACACAGUGAGCCAGUGAAGAGGACUGGUUACUACUCCAAGCAGAAAUGACAGAGGGCUGGCCAUGAACAGUUUCUGUGCAAACACCACAGAAGAUGCCUUUUGGAAGCAAGGAUUGAGAAAAAAGCCUCUCCAUUAGAUGCUUUUCAAUUACUGUGCCCUUCAACUCAAUAAGGAAAGAUCAUUAUGAAUCGAUGUUUUAAUGGCAGCAGUACAGAGAGGCAGAAGUUUUUGAUUCUCUUUGAGAAGCAUUCUACUGCAUCUUAGGGGAAGAGCAGAGUUGGAUUAUCUGGGAAGUCAUGACCUUUGCCUGCAAGAGCUUCCAGAUGAAUUUUGAAAUGAUGCAGUAGUAGCAGUAUCUAAAAGUAGAACACAAGGACAAACUGAAAGUGUAGGUAAGAGGAAUAGUGAUUUAUUAAUCCAUUUCAGUCUACUGCAAUACUGCACCCUUCAACUCUAAACCAGCAGGUUAGGGAUUUCUGCAACCACUAUAUGCUGAUGGAUAGGUUAAAACACAGAAAAAGUGUCAACCAUGCAAUUAAAAUAUUGAAAUAAAAAGAUUUAAUGAAUCUCAUUUGUAAAAAUUGCAUUAAUGCAUACACUUACCAGACAAAUGGUCCCCACAAGAAUCAUGAAAAAGCACCAGAUAACUUUUAUCCUUGUUAGAUUUAGAGUGCAAUGUAAGUACUCUGUUAAAGGUGUUAAGUGGUUUGUUUAACUAGAGAAGCUAUUGUGGGAAUUACAUAAUGCAGACUCACAGGGAGUGUUUCUUUGAUAAGAGCACUGGGUAGCAGGGCUCAGAUUGUUUGAUUAUAUGUGUGAUUUGUAUGUGUGUUUUGAUGAAUGUAUAUCAUGUCCCUCCCACUUAUUAAUGUUUCUGUGUAUGCACUAUUUGUCGAUGCUUCUGAGGUUUUUUUUGUAGUACAUACUUUGCAGGAGACCUAAAAUCUGUGUGAUAAAUUAAAGAGCAUAUGUCUUUUCAAGUGCCUGAUCCUUGUCACUGGGACUGAUGAAUGUUGUAAUUCACCUGAUUUUGUGAAAUUGUGCUUAAUUAAACAGAAGAGAGCAAAAUCAGGGAAGAAAUAACAAACCCAACUUUUUAACCAAAAUCAUGUUGGAUGUUCUCUGUUAUAUAGUCAAGAGAAAGACCUUGAGGUUUUCUGGCAUAAUAAAUACACGCAUUUG